rnacentral:rRNA from 1 species
GACGAACGCUGGCGGCGUGCUUAACACAUGCAAGUCGAACGGAAAGGCCCUGCUUUUGUGGGGUGCUCGAGUGGCGAACGGGUGAGUAACACGUGAGUAAACUGCCCUUGACUUUGGGAUAACUUCAGGAAACUGGGGCUAAUACCGGAUAGGAGCUCCUGCUGCAUGGUGGGGGUUGGAAAGUUUCGGCGGUUGGGGAUGGACUCGCGGCUUAUCAGCUUGUUGGUGGGGUAGUGGCUUACCAAGGCUUUGAAGGGUAGCCGGCCUGAGAGGGUGACCGGCCACAUUGGGACUGAGAUACGGCCCAGACUCCUACGGGAGGCAGCAGUGGGGAAUAUUGCACAAUGGGCGGAAGCCUGAUGCAGCAACGCCGCGUGCGGGAUGACGGCCUUCGGGUUGUAAACCGCUUUCGCCUGUGACGAAGCGUGAGUGACGGUAAUGGGUAAAGAAGCACCGGCUAACUACGUG